UUCAGAGCAGGAAGGGCUUCUAUUUAUUCCAGAGAGCCCAGCGCCUCUGCUGCUGCCUCAGGACAGAGAGCAGAGCUGCCUUUCCAGCGUGUUCUGCCGCCCACCCCAGGGGAGACCUGGGGAGCUUUGCAGCAACUUGGCAUCUCCUGAGGCCCACAGAGUAUCUGCUUGUUGUACUGAGUGCUGAGGAGGGGGCGCUGGGUGGCUUCCCUGGGCAAGCUGGUUGCUGAGCUGCACAGGCACUUGCAUUUUCUGGGCUGUUCCCGUGUUUCAUUCCUCCACUUCCUGGACGGUAUUUGAGCAAGACAUAUUUUACUAAAGAGCUUGUGGAUUGCGGGGUCCCACGACAUCACCUCAUCGAUGCAGUCGAUGGUUUGCUCCAGAUUCAGGCUUGUUUCCGGGAAGAAGCCCUGACAGAAGUUCAGAAGAACGGGAGCUGCAUUCCGUUAGGACGUGAAUACAUGAAAUGCUCCUCUCACGACCUUCUAGAAGAAUGAGCUGGGACCCAGUUUCUGAGUCUGCUGGAACCAGAGACCGAGGCCGCUGCUAUGAUGCCGAACAGGGAACCCGAAACACACAGGGAUUCAGCGGCAGACCAACUACCGCUUGGCUCCCACAAAUGGUCACCUUGGAACUCUUUAUGGACGAAGAGAAAACACCCACCACCACCGUUUCAGAACCCUGCACCAAAUGUGGAGACAAAAACCACCCACCCCCAAAAGGAAACUCUAGCAGGGUACAGGUAUCGAACCUAAGGUGUUGGUCAUGUAUUUUGGAUCAAUAAGUGAGGUUGUACUUUUGACUGGUAAGUGUACAUCUAAAUCCCUCAGAGGGGAUAUUCUCUGAGGUCACCCCAACCUAAAUUGUUGGCCCAUGGGGAGAUGUGUUGUCCCUAUUGGUUGUAUUGAUGUUGUCUCUGUAGGCCAGUGAAUUAAAGCUCCAUAGGGUCUUGUCCUGUUCUUUCACUGAUUGAAAAAGACAGCAAGGGAGUAGUGUUGCCACUAUUAAAUCGGACGUUUCAUGAAUGGGUCUUUUCACUUUCAUGGCUGAAGAAACAGCAUCUCUUAUGAUGAGGGUUAUGGUUUGGAUUACCCUGAGGAUUAGGGUAAGGGUUAGGUCACGCUUGCACCCCCGUUUUGGCAAGGGAGGAAGGUCACACCUGACCCCCGCCACCCUCCUUGAGGAAGGGUGUUCAGGCAUGCACCCUGCCUCCCCUCCACAAGGGAGUAGUGAUGCCACUAUUUAACGUGUUGUUUUAUGAAUGGCUCUUUUCACUUUCACAGCUGAAGAAGCAGGCAUUUCUUAAGGUAAGGGUUAUGGUUAGGAUUGCCGUUCAUGGUUAGGGUAAGGGAUAGGCCAUGCCUGCACCCUCCCUUGGAGUGGGAGGGCGUUCACACAUGCGCCACACCCCCCCUCAUCUCGGGAGGGUGUUCACCAAUAGGAACCAGUCCCCUUCAGCGGGGGGGGGGGAGGAUGUUGAUGUAUGCGCCUGCACCCAUCUCGUGUGCGAGGGUGUUCAUGCAUGGACACCACAACCCUUGGUGAGGGAGGGCAUUUGUCCAUGCACCAUGCUCUCCUUGGCUCAGGAGGUGUUCAUGCAUGAGCACAGUGCCCCCUUGUCUUGGGAACGUGUUCAGGUAUGUGCAUGAACCUGCCCCCCAGCGUGGGAGGGGGUUUACGCAUGUGCCCUCCCCCUCAGGCCCUGGAGGGGGUCACCUGUGCACAGCACCACUAGUCAGCAAGGGAGUAGUGAUGCCACUAUUAAAUCUGACGUUUCAUGGACGGCUGUUUUCACUUUCACAGCUGAAGAAGCAUGCAUCUCUUAAGGUCAGGGGUAGGGUUAGCAUUACAGUUAGGGGUUAAGAUAAGGGCUAGGUCAUGCUUGCUCUCCCCCCUCAGCACGGGAAGGUUUCACGCAUUACCCUGCUAUCCUGAGCAAUGGAGAGUGUUCACCCUUUCACCCCACCCCCUGAGAGUGGUAAAAUAUUGAAGCACGUGCUCCACUCCACUUCCACUGGGGAGGGCUUUCACACAUGCGUAGAUCCCCUCUUCGGGACAGAUUGUUCACAUAUGUGCAUGACCACCUGUCGGGUCGGGAGGGUGUUCACUCAUGGGCACACCCCACCUCUGCAUGGGAGAUGGUUCAUGCAUGUGUCUUGCUCACCUCAGCAGGGAGGGUUUUUACGCAUGUGCACAGCCCCACCUUGGUGUGGGAGGAGGUCACCCAUGUAGAGCGCCACCCUUCAAUGAGGGAAUAGUGAUGCCACUAUUACAUGUGACGUUUCAUGAAUGGUUAUUUUCAAUUUCACAGCUGAAAUAGCAGACAACUCUUAAGGUAAGGGUCCGGGUUAGCAUUACCAUGAACGGUUAGGGUAAGGGUUACGUCAUGCUUCCACACCCACCCCCUCGUCUCUAGAGUGUAUUCACGCAAUAGCACCGCCCCUCAGUGUGUGAGAAUAUUCAUGCAUGUGUCCCACCCCCUUCAGCAUGGGAGGGUGUUCACACAUGCGCCCCAAACUCUUCAGCUUGGAAGUGCGCUCACGCAUUCUCACAUUUGCACCACCCAUCCCAAUGUGAGGGAGGGUGUUGACACAUGUGCCCUGUCCCCCUUGGCAUGAGAGGUGGUUCACACAUGCUCCUCAUCCCCUCAGUGAUGGAGGGUGUCACCCAUGAACAGUGCCACCCCUCGGAGAGGGAGUACUGUUGCCACUAUCAAAUGUGACCUUUCAUCAAUGAUUCUUUUCACUUUCACAGCUGAAGAAGCAUGCAUCACUUAAGGUAAGGGUUAGGGUUAGCAUUACAUUUAGGCUUUAGGGUAAGGGUUAGGUCAUGCUUGCUCCCCCUCUCUGCAAGAGAGGUGUUUCACUAAUACACCCUGCCCCCCUUGGCACAGAUGGGCACAGCCCUCUGUCCGUGUAGAAGGGUGUUCUCACGCACAACCCUCCUUGGCGACGGAGGGCGUUUGUGCACGCACCCUGCCCCAUUAGUGCGGGAGUUUGUUCUCGAGUGUGUAAGGCCCCCCGCUCCUGGCAGAAGGGCAUUCACCUAUGUGCACCAUCCCCCCACUCUGGCAUGGGAAGGUGUUGACCUAUGUGACGUGACACGUCAGUAUGGGAGAAUAUUCACCCAUCUGCCCCGCCCCCCUCUGCCUGGGAGGGUGUUCAAUCAUGAGCACAGCCACCAGUCAGUGAGGGAUGGUAUUCAUGCAUGCGCACAACAAUCCCUCCAUGAAGGAGGGCAUUCACAUAUGCCACAUGCAUCCCUCAACAAGGGAAUGGUUCAAGCAUGUGCCCCAUACCCAUUUUGGCACGGGAGGGUGUUGACCUAUGCACCUUACCCCCUCAGCGCUGGAGGGUGUUCAUAGAUGUGCACAGCCCCCAUUGUGGCGAAAUGUGUUCACAUUUCUGAACAACCCCGGCUAGGGGAGGGAUGCCAUUUGCACGUGGGCCCCGCCCCAUACCACUGGGUGCUAUUCACACAUGUGCACAGCUCUCCCUACUGGCGGAAGAGUGUUCACACAUGCACAAAACUCCUGCUCCAAGAGGUAGGGCGUUUCCACAUGAGCACAAUCCCCAUCAGUGAGGGAGGGCAUGCAUGCCUGCUCCUUACCCACUACCGCAGGAGGCUGUACAGGCGUGCACACAGCCCCCCCCCACUGGUGUAUGUUCACGCAUGCACACUGCUCCCCUCAAUGAGGGAAGGCAUUUGCACAUGCGCCCCCUUCCCCUGGGCAAGGAAGGGUGUUCAGGCAUGCACAGAACCACCACCUCAGCCAGGGAGGUCGUUGGUGCAUGAGCCCUGCCCCACUUAGCACAGGAGGUGGUUCAGGCUUCCGCCUGGCCUCCUGUCAGCAUGUGAGUCGGUCACCCAUGCACAGCGCCACCCCUCAGGGAGGAAGUACUGAUGUCACUAUUGAAUGUGAUGUUUCAUGAAUGGUUCUUUUCACUUUCACAACUGAAGAAACACAGCUGAAGAAAUGCGGCCAGGGAGGGCGUUGACGUAUGCUCCCCGCUACCCUCGCCAGGAUGGUGUUCACGCAUGUGCAAAGCACCCCCCUCCUUGCCAAAGGGGGUUCAGGCAUGCCCACAACCCCCGCUCUGUGAGGCAGACCAUUUGUACAGGCACACAACCCUCCCUCAGCAAGGGACAGUGUUCAUGCUUGGCCCCACUCACCUCGGUGGGAAGGGUGUUCACACAUGCACAGAACCCCCUCAGCAUUGGAGGGCGUUCAAACAUGUGCCCCACCCCACUUGACGCCAGAGGUGGUUCAGGAUUCUGCCUUGCCCCUGGUUGGUGUGUGAGAUGGUCACCCAUGCACAGUGCCACCUUUUAGGGAGAGAGUAGUGAUGUCACUAUUAAAUGUGAUAUUUCACGAAUGGUUCUUUCACUUUCACAGCUGAAGAAACACACAUCUCUUAAGGCUUGCAUCUUCCCUCUACCUCUAUACUCCAAGUUCCUGGCUGUCACUGGAAUUACAUCUUUAGCACGGACAUCAUAACCUCCAGGUGAGAUUCAGGCUUGUUUCCGGGAAGAAACCCUGACAGAAAUUCAGAAGAACGGGAGCUGCAUUCCGUUAGGACAUGAAUACAUGAAAUGCUCGUCUUGGGAACUCCUAGAAGAAUGAGCUGGGACCCACUUUCCGAGUCCUGCUAGAACCAGUGACCGAGAAAAUAAAAACGCCCUGGAAGACAAGUGUAAUGCAUUGAGGUCUGUGAAAGCCACAAAGGAAGCAAAAGUCAAACAGCUGAAAGAGAAAGCACAUAACCUGGAAGAAUUCUAUGAACAAAGAAAAGUGCCUACAAAAAAGCAACAAAUUGAACAAACACGGGAACAGCUGCAGCAGGCAGAGCUCACCUUUAGAUACCAGCUUGCAGUUCAUGAGAAGAAUGCUCAGGACAACUAGAUCAAGACUCAGAUCUGGGACAGGGAGAUGGCGGAGCAGGGCAGGGAGGUCGCUUACUUGAAAUACAGGUGUGGUCAUUUGACUUGCGUUUUUAUGGGUGUUUCCAGGGAUGACACCUGCACUGUUUGUUGUCUAGUAGACGACGUGGUGUUGCAACUCUUAUAGAAGUCCAUUAUUUUUCUGUAUCCAAGACUGGAAGGGAUGGAAGCACAGAGGCUGCCUGAGGGAUACACGAGGCAGAAACCAAUCACUGCAAGAACCCUGCAAGGAGAGGGCAGUCUGGAUCCUGGGGACCUCCUCUGUUAACUGGACGAUUCUGCAUGCCCUACCCUGGAGAUGCCCCGCCCCCAUGGACUAUUAGGCACGUCCACCUCCUGAACCUUAGUGGCCCUGAGGCCACCCGGAACCCCUCCACCUGCAACACUUGAAUUUCAGCUCAUUUUUCCAUAGGACACAAUUACCCUGCAAAGUGUACUGCACUUAAGCUGAGAAGUACCUCCGAAGUAAAAUAAAUUAGCUGAACCCAACUAACAUGCUAUUUUGUAUGCAAGAGUCCUGGUCCUUUCCCAGGAUUGCCUUGCAGGCUGUACCCCAUGGACCACCCUUCACCACCAGUCAUGGGCUAUAGGCCACAUCCCCCUCCUCCACCUACUCUAUUUGUUAAGAUGACCUGAACUGGAUGAGUGGCUGGACAACUCUUUUGAAAUCUGAACAGGACUGUGCACGGUGACAGACUAUGGUGAUUAUAUAUACAUUUUAAGAAGGUGUCAGAUCUACCUGAAUGCUUUCCCUGCCCAUCAUGUCCCCUCCACUUUGUCCUUCCUACUGUCCCCUAAUCUACCUUUCAUCGUUUUG